rnacentral:rRNA from 1 species
UACGUAGGGUCCGAGCGUUGUCCGGAAUUAUUGGGCGUAAAGGGCGCGUAGGCGGCCCGCUAAGUCGAACGUGAAAUCCCCGAGCUCAACUCGGGAACUGCGUCCGAUACUGGCGGGCUUGAAUCCGGGAGAGGGAUGCGGAAUUCCAGGUGUAGCGGUGAAAUGCGUAGAUAUCUGGAGGAACACCGGUGGCGAAGGCGACUACCUGGCCUGUUCUUGACGCUGAGGCGCGAAAGCUAGGGGAGCAAACGGG